GUCUCGGUGGCGCAAUUGGUAAGCUUACCCUUCAACACUACAUCAUACCCAAUCAGUUACUAAUUCAGCAUUAAAGGUUAGCGCGUACGACUGUUAAUCGUGAGGUUGAGAGUUCGAUCCUCUCCCGGGACG
rnacentral:tRNA from 1 species